AAAUAUUUAAAAUGUUAUUUUUUAAUGGGUUAUAGAUUGAGAAGGUCAUUUUGCCUAAAAAUUAAACAUCAACUAUGAAUUAAAUACAAUGAUUAUAAAUUGUAAUUGCAGACCUGUCGGCAACAUUAGAUUCCUUAUUCUGUAUGAAGUGGGCUUCCGUUUUCGGAACUCAGAAGCCGAUUAUAAUUGGGAUUUCUCUCAACUAUAUAUAUAUAUAUAUAUACGGAUUGUUAGGGUUUGUGCAACUCAGCAUUUCUCAACAAAAAUAAAAGAAAGAACUACCAGGAUUUCUUUUAGACGAAAAUCUUAAAGCGAAAGCGAUUAUAAGUACAAGCAUAUCGAAUUGGUCGGAGCUACAGUAUGAUCUGCUGGUUCUAAUUGUUAAGCGUUUAAAUUUGAUUGAAGACUACCUAAAGUUUGCAAUGUUUGCAAAUCUUGGAGAUGUGUCGCCACCAAGGACAACUUCCUAGAAUUCCAUCGCUGAUGUUAGCAGAGGAAGAGGAGGAUAGCACGGAUAAAGGUAAUUCUGGUCGAAAAUUCUUCUGCCUCUACAAUGGUAUGAUUUGUUGGGUUCAAUCUGUAUGAAAAAUAUGUUAAUGGAAAAUGGAGAGAAAAAUGGUGGAAGAAAGGAGUUACCAAUUUAGAAGGUGUACUCAAAGUUCGCUAAUUCUCUCACAUUGGUUGGAGAAGGAAACUAUGGAGUGUUUUUAAUUGAAAGCACUUACUCCACAUGCUAAAUGAGACAAGAAAUAAGAAAUAUCUUUCGCCGUCGUUGUUCGCUCCGCUUCAGCUUUGGAUUUGGAAAAAUGAUCGAUGAGAUCUAUUUUUUUUGGACAAAGUGGUAUAUCUGUUUCGAGAAGGACACAUUCUUUGGGAAGAGGAUCUCACAGGCUAUAUAAACCUGCUUUCAUUCACAGAUUUUGAUAUGAAUUUUUCUGCAAUAAACUCUCUUCUUGUAUUUACAAAUACUCUGUGUGAUCAGGCAACGUGUUAGUCUAUGAUGUUACUAGUUCUGAUCCUUCUCAAAUAGUAGCGUUGUUACCCGCACAUCACAAGGAAGACGAGUGCUAUAUACUAGAAUCAAUGGGAUCAUUAUUAGUAAUUGUGCGAUACGGUGUAAAACUUAGGGAGCCCACCACCAGAGAAGAUAGGUACAAGUUUACUCUAACACCAAUUGAUGACGACAACGAUGAAAUUUAUGGGACAACAAGGUUUGGAGUUUUUGUGGUUGAUUUAGCUGCUGGAAAAUUGACAGAAACUGAGGAACUAGGGGACAGAGCUCUUUUUUUGGGUGCUAAUGCAUCUAUCUCAAUCCAAGCUUCUCAAUUUCCCAGUCUCAAGCCAAAUCAUAUUUAUUAGACGGAUGAUUUUUGGGAAUCAUAUCUCGGCUAUGAAGAAGGGGGCAGCUUAGAUAUGGGUGUUUAUAACUUAGCAAAUGGAAGUUUUGAGCCUCACUACAUAGGUGUUUCCCGCAGUCAAGUUUGUCCCCCCAAUUUGGAUCACUCCAACUCUGUUGAUUCGUAUUGCUUUUGAUUUUAUAUUAUGUAUUAGGAGAGUGUUUCACAAUUUGUUUUAAGCUUUAACCUUUUCCUUGUUGAACGCCAUAAGACUUAUUGUUGUCUUGUAACCUUGGCUAUGAGUUAUGACUAUGUUUUGUGACCUUGGCUAUGAGUUAUGACUAUAGUGUACGUGUUAUUUGGCUUAUCAGCGUUCCUUACAAUCUCAAAUGUAAAUUUGAGUUAUUUCGGAACAAAUUUUGCUUUUCUUUAUUUUCACUAAGUCUUUGGCAAUUUUGCAACGUGUAGGUUUUUCGUGCAGGUUUUUUGUUCGUUCCUUUCGUUCAUUGAUCAUCACUUGUUUCUAUAUCUGUAAAGCUUCAUAUUUAUAAAUUAGUUACACAGCAAACUAACAAAGGAAGACUAAUCAGAGAUUUUAAAACACGAAUGAGUUUUAACUAACAAAACAAUUACGCGGAUACACAUACACCACCACCACUUGAAUCACCUCCCGCCCCGCCCUUUAUCUUUUCAGAAGUACAUCAAUGACCGUGUUUAAUAGUCCCAGAUCCAUUCAGAAGCACAACAUCAUUUUUGUUUUACUUUUUUGCUCGCCCAUAGGGCAUCACAUCCUGUAAAUCAGACCCGGGUUUAACAGUGUCAAAUUCAUUCAGAAGUGCAACAAUAAUUGUGUUUAACAGUCUAAAGCCACCCAGAAGCACAUCGAUUUUUGUUUUAAUUUUGCGCUCGGUCAUAGGGUCAUCACAAUAAAUAGGGUCAUCACAAUAAAUUAAUGGUCUAAAGUCAAAUUAAAAUGAUAGACCUUAAAUUUAUUUCCAUACAUUAAAAUAAUACUGUAAUAAUUUAAAGUUCUUUUUUGUUCUUGCAUAUUACUUGUUUUUAAUGUAGUAUUUUAAAAGACACAUGUCAUUUAACUCCAUAUAUUCAUACGAUUAUUAAUAAAAGUAAGUAUCAAUUCUAGUGAAUAAAAUGUUGGACAUUUAUUUGCAAUAUAUUAACUUGGAUGUUGUUGUUAACCUGAUUUAUGAAUAUAUAGUUUGAGUUGUUUAAUUCAAAGUUUUAAAAUAUUUCUAGUAAAAAGUAGAUAGAUUUUUUCUUUCUUUAUUAAUAUUAUUUUUCUUAAGACAUAUUUCACAAUCUUUAUUAUUAUUCCAAGUGAAGUUGAAAUCAUAAAAUUUACUAUUAAAGUUUUUGAGACCUCAAAAUUUGCAGCCUAAAGCAAACAUUGUAUUAGCCCUACCCUUGAGACAUCCCUACUUACCCGAGGUGAGGACUGAUUUCUUUCUUGCUUUGUAUCUAGGGAACACUACUUAUGUGCCAAUGACGGACCCAAAAUUUAGGAUCGUGAGUGUCAAAGAGAUUCGACCCCAUAUAUAUAUAUAAAUAUAUAUGUGUGUGUGUGUAUAUAUAUGUGUAUAUAUAUAUAUACACACACACACAUAUAUAUAUAUAUGUAUGUAUGUAUAUAUACUCUAAUGAGUUCAAAUGUUAUAUUAAAUAUGAUAUUGAUUUAAAUAAUAAAAAUGAAUAUAAUAAUAAAUUCAAUAUUUUUUAACCUGCAGAUUACAUGUCACUUAAGCAGAUAGUAAUUCCACUUUGAUUGUUGUUCCAAACUUUGCUAAUAUCUUAUUUGUCGUGACUUUAUUAAUUAUUGUUCUCCACACCAAAACAAGUCAUCGUAAAUGGCAUCUGCUUGUGUCACAUGUUUGAUGAAAUUAAGUUUUUUUUUUUUUUUUGUAUCCAAAGUAAUGAAGUGAUUUAUAUUAUUAUUUAACUAUAGAUUUACAACAAUACUAUUAGUAUAAAUACUAUUAACACAACAAAGAAUGAAAAGUAAAAUAAGAAAAGAAACACGAUAUACUCUACCAUUACCUUAAUUUAGAUUUCAACAAAUCAAAAUUUUGUAAUUUGUGAAAAAAAGAUUGUACUUGAGUCAUAUUUCUAAAAGGAAGAAAAUAAAAAUGUAGUAUGUUUUUUUUUUAACCUAAGUGUCUAUUUUUUAAUUUUAUUUAGUAUUAUAAUCUAUUUAAAAUUAAUAUUCUUUAUUUAAUUAAUUAAUAAUAUUUAUAUUAGUUGUCUCUGUUUAAUUAAGUUUAGAUUAUUCUUCAAAACUAUCGCAAGUAGAAAAAAGAGCAUGUUUAGCUAUAAAAUUUUAUCAUUAAUUAACUCUUGAUAGUAUUUAUGAUUAUAAAGAUAAAUUCGUUUCUGAUUUAAGUUAUGUUUUCUAAAGUCUUAAUAUGUUUUUGAAGUUAGCAAUAAUAAAUUAUCAUGUAUUAUUGAUAGACAAUUGCUAAUUGAGAAAAUUUAGUGUAAAUAGAAAUACCUUGAAUGUCAAUAAUUUCAACAACUUGGUGUUUAUUUCCAUGCUCUUCUAUUUCCAUGCUCUUUAUGAUCAUGGUCUCAUGGAUAUACUACAUUCAAAAUAAAAUUGAAGAUUACUAACCUAUUGAAGAGUUAUACACAUCACUUUUUUCAUAGAAAUUUAAUUGAACCUAGCACACAAAUUAAACAUACAAAAAAGAAAGAUUGAUCCUUAUGAAAGAAAGUCCAAAGUAUAGAAAUGAUACAAAAAAAAAUAAAAUUCAUCGAACAAACUUCAUGUAAGCAAAAAAAAAAAGUGUGAUCAUAUAAAGUAUAAAUUCAAACUCGAAAUCGAACACAUAACAAAAAAAUUCGCAAAUAAAAAUUUUGGCAUUGGACUCCUAUAAAAUUUAUAUUAGUGUUUAUAUAUGUACUACUAUGCCUAUAAUUGUAUGACAAUUUUUUUAAUAUAGUAGACAACUUUUAUUUUUAUUUUUCAAAAAUAAUCAUAGUUUUUCAAUUAAAAAAAAGUAAUAUUAACUUACUAAGUUAUCAGGUAAUUUACGGUACAUCAUAAUAGCAAUAUUUAUAGUAGUUUUUGUUUUUUCAAGAAAUAUAUUUUUCAUAUUGUAGGACUUUUAAUUUCUCCCCAUAUAUUUUAGGAUUCUUAAUUUCCCCCAUGCGUUUUAGAAUUCAUAUUUCAUAUAUUUUAGGAUUCUUAAUUUCUUUUCAUAUAUUUAUUUUAUUAUCAGUUUCCAUAUACUUUAGGAGACCUUAAUAUAUAAUUCAACAAAAUAAUAAUUAAAGAAAAAAAUUAAAAGACGAUUUUAACUAUUGUAGAAUCUUUUAAGGAGAAGGUCUUUUUACAUUAUUAUAUUAUAUUAUAUUUUUGGUUUCACGUAGGAGUGCGUUUUUUUUAAUUAUAAUUUUUUUAUCGGGAAAGGGCCUAAAAUGCCCUUCAAUUAUGUAAAAUGGUGCAAAAAUUUUCUCCAUCUAACUAUUGGGCCUAAAAUGCCCUUCUUACCUAUCUAUUAAGUCUAAAAUGUUCUUCCCAUCUACCGGCCUAUUUUGCCUUUUUACUUAGGCAAAUUAUAUGAAAAGACCAUCCAUAAAACUUAAUUAAAUAAUAGUAUUUUUUCGAUAUUAAAAAAAAAUCUUCAUAGAUAGCCAUUUUAAGAAAUAAAAAAAGAUAAUUAUAAUUCUUAAUUUAAUGCAAUAACUAAUUAUCAAUUCACCUUAAUUUAAGAGAUAUAUUUUCAAUCUUCAAAUUAAAAGUAGAAAAGAUAAUCCUUGCUUUCAAAUAUUUUUUUCUCUUAUAUUCAAAAUUCGUAUAUUUUUAAAUAAACUAAGCAUUCCAUUAUUUACUCGUGCGUGUUUUAUUUUAUUUUCAUGUAUGUUAAUUAUCUAUUAUUAUUUUAUUAUUGUGUAUUUUUAAUUCUAAUGUAAUGGUGUAAUCAUAAUUUUUUAUAGAUAAAUAUUUAUGAAAUAAAAAUUAUUUUGUUGGAAGUACAGAUAUAUCACAUAUUUUUGUUGUAUAAAAAUAAUUAAUGUAAAAGUCAGAUUAUUAUUAUAUUUUUUAUAUAAUUUAUGAGAUAAAUAUUCAUGAUAUUUUUUAUAUGAUUUUUGCCAUUUGCACCAUUUGAUAUAAUAUCAGACAUCAUUUGAUAUUAUAUCAAAUGGUGCAAAAAUUAUAUCAAAAAUAUAAUAAUAAUCUGACUUUGAUAUUAAUUAUAUUUAUACAACAAAAAUAUAUGAUAUAUCUGUACUUCCAACAUAAUAAUUUUUAUUCCAUAAAUAUUUAUUCAUAAAAAAUUAUGGUUCACCCAUUACAUUAGAAUUAAAAAUACACAAUAAUGAAAUAAUACUAGAUGAUUAACAUACAUGAAUAUAAAAUGAAACAUACAUGAGCAAAUAAUGGAAUACUUAGUUUAUUUUAAAAAUAUUUAAAUUGUGAAUAUAAGAGAGAAAAAUCUUUGAAAGCAGGGAUUAUCUUUUCCACUUUUAAUUUGAAGAUUGAAAAUAUAUCUCUUAAAUUAAGGUGAUUUGAUAAUUAGUUAUUGUAUUAAAUAAAGAAGAGAAAAUGGUCAAAAACCCCCCAACCUUUACCCCAAAUCUCAACUACACACCUAUACUUUGCGGGGGUCCUAUAACCCCUCUGAACUAUUUUAAAGUGGAAUUAUUACCCCCUGAACGCUGACAUGACAAGAGAGUGUGUUUCACUAUCUUCAAAGAGAUGAGAACGAAAAUUAUUUAUUAAAAAUUUAUUUUUAAUAUUUCUUUAUUUUUUAUUCAUUUUUAAUUAUUUUUUUUUUCUUUCUUUCUUUCUUCUUCUUCUUCUUCUUCUUUCAAAUAAUGGCAUCCAAGAACUCUCUCUUCAUCACAUAUUACCAUCCCAAAAUACUCUCCUCAUAAAAUAAAAAGCUUCAACAACUCUUCAAUGGCUAUCAUGGCCAAAAUCUCUCCACCACCAUUUCACCAAUGCCGCCAACGUCAUCAACAUUUCCACCAUUCCCACUACUUCACAUUCCUUCAUUUUUCCCCAUAUAAAUCUUCAAUUUUUUCUUUUUUUUCAUUGUCCAAUUUUUUCAAAAUUUUAUCGAAAUUUCAAGAAUUAAGAAUUUAACAUCAAAAAAAUUAAGAAUCUUUAAGACAACAUUGUAUUAUCCAUAUCAUGUUAUUUUUCACCACACUUCAAUCUAAGCCAAUCUUUUAGUUCAAAUUAUGAAUUUUAUCUCAAUUCUCUCUAAAACUUUCUCUAUUAUUUUCCACCAGAAUGACUUCGCAGUCGCCGGUGGAACUUUUUCGGCGACUGAAUGGUACUCAAGAAGAGCGCAUUGAUGUUGCGCACCUAACCCAAUAAAAUAGUGAUCUCUAAGUCAAUUUCGGAUGAACAAUGGUGUAGUGUUCAAGAAUUUAUUUCCCUUGUGAAUUUGGGUGUUAUUCAAAUAUUUCCAAGUGGUGAAAAUGUUAACAAAGAUGAAUUUCCAUCUAGCAAUGCAGAAUUAAACAUUUUCAUUGACCAAAAGCAGAAUCCCAAAAUGGGUGAUUUAACCACAAUUGCGACAAAACCAGAAAAAACAACCCCCAUUAGCUGUCAUCGCCACCGCCACCCCCAUUAGCUGCCACCGCAACUCCCACCUCCAUUACCUACAUCGCCACCGCCACCCUUCUCUCACCCCCUUUUAUCAAAUUUAGGGUGGAAUUAAGAAAUAAAAAAUAAAAUUCAAUUAUAUGUGAGAGAUUGUUGGGAAUUCAAUUAUCUUUGUUUGUCUAAUUUCAUUCAAUGAUAUAAAUUAGAUGAUGAUUUAAGAAUAUUGAUACUUUAUUUGGUUAGAAUGAUGAUAUUUUAAUUUGGGUUUGUAAAAUUGAAAAUGGUGGAAGAUAAGGGGAAAUAAUAACUAAAAAUUUUUUGUAAAAAGGAAAAAUUUGACUGGUCAAACGCGUGGUUUCACCUUGCAGUGAAGAUGUGGUUGUGACUUUUUAGGGGUGUAAUAAUUUCAUUUAAAAAUAGUGACCCCUGCAAAGUAUAAGUGUGUAGUUGGGAUUUGGGGUAAAGGUUGGGGGGACGUUUGGCCAUUUUCUCAAUUAAGAAUUAUAAUUAUCUUUUUUUAUUUUUUAAGAUGGCUAUGUAUGAAAAAAAAAAUAUUUUUGUAAUAACGAAAAAGUACUAUUAUUUAUGUAAUUAAGUUUUAUGGAUGACCUUUUCAUAUAAUUUGCCUAAAUAAAAGUGCAAAAUAGGCUCAAAAAGUAAAUGAGAAGGGCAUUUUAGGCACAAUAGAUAAGUGAGAAGGACAUUUUAAGUCCAAUAGGUAGACGAAAAGGACAUUUUAGGCCCACUAGGUAGACGAAGGACAUUUUUGCACCAUUUUACAUAGUUGAAGGACAUUUUAGGCCCUUUUCCGUUUUUUAUUAUAAUAUUAUUUUUUGGGGUUUUUUUAAUUACAAUUUUUUAUUAUUAUUACUUUUUUGGUUUCACAUUAGGAGAGUUUUUUUUUUAAUCAUUAUUUUUUUGGUUUCAGGCCGGGAAAGGAGAUUUUACGUUGGGUUUUCCUUUUUUAUUACUAUUUCUUUUUAUUACUAUUUUUUGGUUUCAGAUUGGGGAAGAAUUGGUUUAGGAAUUAUAUUUUUGUGAGGAAAGGUUUUUUUUUUUUUUUUUUUAAAUUAAUAUUUAUUAUUAUUAUUAAAAUAAUAGGAAAAGGGUGAAAAGAUAAUUUUGUCUUAAAUGAAAUAUUUUAAUGAAGGGCAAAAGUUCAAACAAUAUUUCUAAGGCCAUUCACACUUUUAAUAUAUUAUAUAGAUAGAUAUAGAUUAUAGAUAUAGAUAUAGAUAUAGAUUAUAGAUUAUAUAUAUAAAUUAUAGAUAUUGUUAUGAUAUAUAUCAAUUAUAGUGAACGUCUAUCAAGAUCUAUCAAGAUCUAUUUGAUGUCUAUCAAGAUUUGAUGUAUUUAUCUUUUAGUGUGAAACUAGGGAAAAUUCCCCCUAUAAAUAGAAGGAUUUCCUUCAUUGUAAAUCAUCCCUCAAGAAAAGAAAUAAGAAUUAUUCUCUCUAAAAAAAAAUUAAUAUAUAUCUUAUUUGGUGUAUUUCAUUUUAUUUGAAGAUAUGGAUAAUUUUCAGAGUAAGCUGUCAAAUUGUGAAGAUAUAUAUUUGAUUGAUUCUGGCACUACACAUACGAUAUUCAAAAACGAAAAAUAUUUCUCUCAUCUAAACAUGGGCAAGAUUAAUGUUACUACAAUUUCUGGUAGUGCUAAUUUGAUUGAAGGCUUUGGAAAAGCCAUUAUAAUCUUGCUCAAGGGAACUAAACUCAUCAUAAAUAAUGUCAUGUUUUCUCCUAAGUCUCGGAGAAACUUGAUGAGUUUUAAAGAUAUCUGUGAAAAUGAUUAUCAUAUUAAGACAAUUGAUGAGAUGAAUCUUGAAUAUCUUGGUAUCACCAAGAAUGUCUUUGGGCAAACAUAUGUUAUUGAAAAGUUUUCUGCUUUAUCUUCUGGCUUGUAUUGGACAAAGAUUUAUGCAAUUGAGACACAUUCUAUAGUAAAUCGGAAGUUUACUGAUUCCAAUACUUUCGUACUUUGGCAUGAUCGUCUAGGACAUCCAGGAUCAAUAAUAAUGAGACGAAUCAUAGAAAAUUCAAAAUGGGCAUCCAUUAAAGAACUUGAAGGUUCUUUCGACUGGUGAAUUUUCAUACAAUGCUUGUUAUCAAGGCAAGCUGAUUGUGAUGUCAUCGCCAACAAAAGUUGCGAUUGAGUCCCCCGCGUUCUUGGAACGCAUACAUGGGGAUAUUUGUGGACCCAUUUACCCACCUAGUGGGUCAUUUAGAUACUUCAUGGUCCUAAUAGAUGCUUCUUCUAGAUGGUCUCAUAUGUGCCUUUUGUCAUCUUGCAACUUAGCAUUUGCAAAAUUGUUGGCACAAAUAAUACGAUUACGGGCACAAUUUCUCGAUAACCAAAUUAAGUCUAUUCGCCUUGAUAAUGGUGCAAAAUUUUCAUCUCAACCAUUUAAUGACUAUUGCUUAUCGAUUGGGAUAAGAGUGGAACAUCAUGUACCCCAUGUUCACACUCAAAAUGACCAUGUUGAGUCAUUAAUUAAAUGUUUGCAGUUGAUAGCAAGAUCAUUGCUUAUGAAAACAAAAUUGCUCACUUCUGUUUGGGGUCAUGUAAUUUUGCAUGCUGAACACUUGUUCGUCUUAGACCGAUAAAUUAUCAUAAAUUUUCUCCGUUGUAAUUGAUUUUGGGCCAAGAGCCUAAUAUAUCUCAUUUGAGAAUUUUUGAGUGUAGUGUAUAUGUGCCUAUAGCACCACCAAAUCGCACCAAGAUGGGCCCCCAAAGAAGAUUAUGAAUUUACGUUGGGUUUGAAUUACCCUCCAUUAUUCGCUAUCUUGAACCAUUAACGGGAGAUAUGUUCACUACUCGAUUUGUAGAUUGUCGGUUUGAUGAGAUAUUUUUCCCAAAAUUAGGGGGAGAAGAUAGUGACAUCAAAAAAGAAAUUUUGUGGAAAAAUCCAUCACUAUCUCAUCUUGAUCCACGUGCUUCUAUUUAUGAGCAAGAAGUACAAAAGAUUAUUCAUCUGCAGAAAAUUGCAAAUCAAAUGCCGGAUGUAUUUACUGAUUUAAAAAGGAUUACCAAAUCACAUAUUCCUGCAGAGAAUGUCCCAAUUCGAAUUGAUGUCUCUAAAGAACCAUCCACUAGUGUCAUAACUAAUGAAUCUAAAGCACGCUUGAAGCGUGACAGACCAUUAGGUUCUAAGGAUCGAAAUCCUAGAAAAAGAAAAAUGAUCAAGAUGACACCACGAAAGAUCCUCAUAUGGAAGCUCAAGAUUUAAGAAAUAUUGAUAUUCCUGAAGGAAUCAAUAAGCUUGAGACUCAAGAAAAUAAGGAACUAUCCAUAAAUUCAAGUGAUGUUGAAACUGAUUUGAAUCGAUCUGAAAUAGUAGUGGAUUAUGUCUUUGCAUAUAAUGUUGCAACAAAAAUCAUGCAAGAUAGUAAGGAUCUUGAACCUCAAUCUGUCACAGAAUGUCAACAAAGAAAUGACUGGCCAAAAUAGCAAGAAGCAAUUCAAUCUGAAUUGAAUUCACUUUCCAAACGUGAAGUUUCUGGACCUAUAACUCAAACACCUAAUGGUGUUAAGCCUGUUGGCUAUAAAUGGGUCUUUAUGCGAAAAAAAAAUUGAGAAAAAUGAAAUACAAAGGUAUAAAGCAUGCCUUGUUGCACAAGAAUUUUCACAACGGCCUGGUGUCGAUUAUGAUGAGACAUAUUCACUAGUUAUGGAUGCAAUAACACUGUGUUAUCUUAUUAGUUUCACUGUCCAGGAGAGACUUGAAAUGCAUUUGAUGGAUGUGGUAACAGCCUAUCUAUAUGGAUCACUUGAUAAUAAGAUAUACCUGAAAAUUUCUGAAAGAUUUAAAAUGCCGAAAGUAUAUAGUUCAAAGCCUCGGGAAAUGUAUUCCAUUAGAUUGCAAAGAUCAUUGUAUGGUUUGAAGCAAUCUGGACGCAUGCGGUAUAACCGUCUUAGUGAAUAUUUAUCUUAAGAAGGUUAUACGAAUGAUGAAAUUUGCCCAUGUGUUUUCAUAAAGAAAACAACGUCGAAGUUUGUUAUACUUGAUGUUUAUGUCGACGACAUAAACCUUAUUGGAACGCCAAUAGAGCUUCAAAUGGCAAUUGAUUACCUAAAAAAGAAUUUGAGAUGAAAGAUCUCGGAAAGACAAAGUUAUGCCUUGGUUUGCAUAGAAAGCAUUUGACAAACAGUAUCUUUGUCCAUCAAUCUGCCUACACAGAAAAGGUGUUGAAAUAAUUCUAGAUAGAUGGAACACAUCCAUUAAGUACUCCGAUGGUUGUUCGAUCACUUGAUGUGAAUAAGGAUCCAUUUCGACCUCAAGAAAAGAAUGAGGAACUCCUUCAUCCUAAAAUACCAUAUCUUAGUGCACUAAUGUAUCUUGCAAAUACUACAAGGCUUGAUAUUUCCUUUUCAGUAAAUUUGCUAGCAAGGUAUGGUUCUGCUCCUACUAGGAGACAUUGGAAUGGGAUCAAACACAUAUUACGGUAUCUAAAGGGGACUAUCGAUAUGGGCUUAUUUUAUUCUAAAGAUUGCAGUUCUGAUCUUGUUGGUUAUGCUGAUGCUGAGUACUUAUCUGAUCCACAUAAAGCUCGAUCUCAAACAGGCUAUGUAUUCAUAUGUGGGGGUACUGCCAUAUCUUGGAGAUCAACAAAGCAGUCUAUCGUAGUCACUUCAUCGAAUCACGCUGAGAUUAUAGCUAUUCAUGAAGCAAGCCGAGAGUGUGUGUGUGGUUGAGGUCCAUAAUACAUCUCAUUCGAGAAAAAUGUGGCUUGAAAUGUGACAAAGUACCCACAAUUUUAUAUGAAGAUAAUGCAGCAUACAUAGCACAACUUAAAAGAGGAUUCAUAAAAGGAGAUAGAACGAAGCAUAUUUUGCCAAAGCUCUUCUAUACAUAUGAGCUCUAAAAGAAUGGUGAUAUUGACGAACAACAGAUUCGUUCAAGUGACAAUGUGGUUGACUUAUUCACCAAGUCUCUUCCAACUCCAACUUUUAAGAAUAUGGUGCACAAGAUCGGAAUGCAAAGGUUCAAGGAAGUUCUUAUUAGGGGGAGCUAAUACGCGCUAUACUCUUUUUCCCUUAUGAGGUUUUAUCCCACUGGGUUUUCCUUGUAAGGUUUUUAAUGAGGCAGCCUAUAUGCGUAUUGUUAGACAUUCAAGGAAGAGUGUUAUGAUAUAUAUCAAUUAUAAUGAAUGUCUAUCAAGAUCUAUUUGAUGUCUAUCAGGAUUUGAUGUAUUUGUCCUUUAGUGUGAAAUUAGGGGCAAAUUUCCCCUAUAAAUAGAAGGGCUUCCUUCAUUGUAAAUCAUCCCUCAAGAGAAGAAAUAAGAAUCACUCUCUCUACUUCUUCUUGUUCUUUAUUAUUUUAUAACAGGUAUAGAUUUGUAUUAUAUUAUUACCAUACCUCUUAAUUUUACCAAAAAUAAGGAAUUUUGCAAAAUUGAAAAAGACAACCAACAUGGAAACAUUAAUUACUUCUCUUCCUAUAUAAUUUAGGAGUCUAGUUAAUAUUAUAAAUAUAAUAAUAUAAUAAUUAAAGAAAAUAAGUUAAAAGACAAUUUUGUCUAUUGCAGAGAUUUUUAAUGAAGGACAAAAAGUUCAAAUCACUUUUCUAAGAGCAUUCACAAUUUUAAUAUAUUAUAGAUUAUAUAUAUAUAGAUUCUACAUAUAAAUUAUAGAUAUAGAUUAGGAGUCUAGUUAAUAUUAUAACUAUAAUAGUUAAAGGAAAUAAGUAAAAAGACAAUUUUGUCUAUUGCAGAAAUUUUUAAUGAAGGACAAAAAAUUCAAAUUACUUUUCUAAGAGUCUUUACAUUUUUAAUAUAUAUAUAUAUAUAUAUGUAUGUAUGUAUAUGUAUGUAUUUUCUAUAUAUAUAAAUCCCACAAUUCUUGCAAGAUUUUCGAUGAUAAUUAAAAUUAGUUAACUUCUCAUUAUUCUUAUACCCUGAACUACAAUCUUCUCAUGUGUAUAUAUUUAUCUUAUUUUUUAAUGUUUGACAAUCCGAUUAACUGAAAAAAAUGAAUACCCUCAAAUGUUUUAAUAGGUCAACUCCCUCUGAAAAAAUUAACUUGGAAAACACACGUCCCUGAAAAAAUUGAAAAUGGAUUAACAAAAACAUCGUCGUCAGUGGUCGGCCUAUUUCCAGCCAAAGCGGGACUCCACCAUCUUGCUUGCUUGGUCUCGGAAAUUUUCAAAACAAUAUAGCUUUUGAAAAUAUUUAUGUGCCCGAUAAACAAUACAGAUACAAUAUUAUUCCUGAGGAAAAAUCAUAUAUAUAAUGUAUAUUAACUUUAUAUAAAAAUGUAUAGUAGUGUAUGUAUAAAAUGUGUUUAUAUACAAAUAUGGAUUACAUUGUGUUUACGCACAAAGUAUGUAGCAUAAAUAUUAUCUAAAAUAAACGUAAUUUCACCCUAUUUUUGUUCUUCUUCUGUUCAAAUUCAGUGCGUUCUUUUUUUGUCUGAUUGAUUUUUUUCUGCUACCAGAGUUUGGUAUUUGCCAAAAAUUUGGGACAAUUUAGGCGCCAAAUCAGCUGAAAGUAGGAGGAAAUAUUAAAAUUAGUAUUCGGCAUAUAUUUUUGACAAAUACUUUAAAUUUCCAAAUACUAAAAAAAUAAAAUUAGUACUAGAGCCAAAUUUUAUUUCUUUGAAACGUAAAAUAUAUUUUCCAAGUACUAUAAACAAACACAUGGUGAAAUUUCACCAAAAUCUUUACUCAAAAAUAACUUACCAAAAAUAUUUGGGAAUUAAUGACCAAACACUAGCUUAUUGUUUUGGAAAAAUAGAGUGAGUAAAAUUGAAUAUAACAAUUGUGAAUUGAAUAAAGCGGUGAUGAAUUGUAAUGUUACAAACUGUGACUAUAGGCGUUGAGUUUUGUGUUAAGUACGGCUAUUUUUGAAAAUCUCCCUCAAUUAAUAGGAUAGGCCUUCCUUAUUAUAUAUGAAGUGGACUUGUGUCCUCAAAACUCAGAAGCUGACCAUAAUUGGGAUGUCUCUCAACUAAUAUAUACAUAUACGGCCUUUGUGCAACUUAGCUUGAGAGAAUUUCUCAACAAAAAGAAAAGAAGGGACUAUAGACGAUUCCUAUUGGACGAAGAUAAGCAUUAAGCACAAUCAUGUCGAAUUGGUCGGAGCUUCAUUAUGAUCUUAUCUUUAAAUUUGAUUGAAGACUAUCUAAAGUUUGCGUCCGUCUGCAAAUCUUGGCGAUGUGCCGCCACCAUGGACAAUUUUAACAGCGACCUCCCUAGAAUUCCAUGGCUGAUGUUAGCGGAGGAUAAAGGCAAUUCUUGUCGAAAAUUCUUCUGCCUCUACAACGGCAUGAUUUUAAAGAAGAGGAUACCGAAAACCAGCGGAAAAAGAUGUAUGGAAUCUAUGGGAUGGCUUAUCACUGUCGGAAAUUAGUCUGUUACGUCCCUUUUCCUGUGUUCAGAUCGAACUGCCGCAUCAAAAUACCACCGAAGGUUAUGACGACCACCAGCUUUGCCAUCCAUGGACCAUCAUUCACAAGGCAGUUUUAUCAGCAAGUCCAUCUCGGUCAUCGGACUACAUUCUCACUGUCAUUGAGGGGAAUAUGAAAUUCGUCAGUUUUUGGAGGCCAGGAGACUUGAGAUGGACCAGGAUUAACGACAGAAACGCUCCCUGUGAACAUAUACAUCGUGAUCUGGUGUAUUAUAAUGGAAAAUUUUAUGCAGUUGAUUGGGGUGGCAACGUGUUAGUCUAUGAUGUUACCGGUUCUAAUCCUUCUCAAACAGUAGCCUUGUUACCAGCAUGUCACGAGGGAGACGAGUGCUAUAUUCUAGAAUCAAUGGGAUCAUUAUUUGUGGUUGUGCGGUACGGUGUAAUACGUAGGGAGCCCACCAGAGAAGAUAGGCACAAGUGAUGACGACAACGAUGGAAUUUAUGGGACAACAAGCUUUGGAGUUUUUGAGGUUGAUUUAGCUGCUGGAAAAUUGACAGAAACCAAGGAACUAGGGGACAGAGCUCUUUUUUUGGGUGCUAAUGCAUCUAUCUCAGUCCAAGCUUCUCAAUUUCCCAAACUCAAGCCAAAUCAUAUUUAUUAUACGGAUGAUUUUUGGGAAUCAUAUCUCGGCUAUGAAGAAGGGGGCG
rnacentral:lncRNA from 1 species